CAGCCACAUCAGAUUGAAACACCUGUUUCCAUACAAUCACCAAAGUUAAGCAACAUUGAGCCUGAUCAGUACUUAGAUGGGUGACUACUUGGUCAUACAAAGUACUG